rnacentral:rRNA from 1 species
CACGUAGGGGGCAAGCGUUGUCCGGAUUUAUUGGGCGUAAAGAGCUCGUAGGCGGCUAAGUAAGUCGGGUGUCAAAGCCCCAGGCUCAACCUGGGAUCCCACCCGAUACUGCUUUGGCUAGAGUCCGGUAGGGGAGCGUGGAAUUCCUGGUGUAGCGGUGAAAUGCGCAGAUAUCAGGAGGAACACCAGCGGCGAAGGCGGCGCUCUGGGCCGGAACUGACGCUGAGGAGCGAAAGCGUGGGUAGCAAAC